rnacentral:rRNA from 1 species
CCUACGGGAGACUGCAGUGAGGAAUAUUGGUCAAUGGGCGCGAGCCUGAACCAGCCAAGUCGCGUGAGGGAUGAAGGUUCUAUGGAUCGUAAACCUCUUUUAUAAGGGAAUAAAGUGUGGGACGUGUCCUAUUUUGUAUGUACCUUAUGAAUAAGGAUCGGCUAACUCCGUGCCAGCAGCCGCGGUAAUACGGAGGAUCCGAGCGUUAUCCGGAUUUAUUGGGUUUAAAGGGUGCGUAGGCGGCCUUUUAAGUCAGCGGUGAAAGUCUGUGGCUCAACCAUGGAAUUGCCGUUGAAACUGGGAGGCUUGAGUAUGUUUGAGGCAGGCGGAAUGCGAGGUGUAGCGGUGAAAUGCUUAGAGAUCACGCAGAACCCCGGUGGCGAAGGCAGCCUGCCAAGCCAUGACUGACGCUGAGGCACGAAAGCGUGGGGAUCAAACAGGAUUAGAUACCCUAGUAGUC